UUUUGAAAAAAGAGCCAAUUACAGCAGAUCAUUUACAGAAGAUAGUGGACAAAAUUGGUAGUGAUCGUGCUCAUUUGCCGAAUGUUAGAAUUUGUGCUAUGAUGUUAGUUGGUUAUGCAGGAUUUUUACGCUACAGUGAGAUAGCAAAUUUAAAAAUGUGUAACAUAAAAUUUUUUGACACUUAUGUUUCUUUGAAUAUUGAAUCUGGGAAAACUGAUGUAUAUAGAAGGGG
rnacentral:lncRNA from 1 species